rnacentral:lncRNA from 1 species
CAGGUUUAGUGCAUGGAAAUGCAUACUAAAUUAAUUUAUACUCUGUCAUUGCAAUUUAUUAUAGAGAUUUUAUGUCCCCAGGGAUGACAUAGCAAAAAUAGAAGAAGACCAGAACUGAUGACAAAGAUUGUUAGACAUGGAAAAACAUUCUUAUGAAGAUAGACAUAUAUGAGGAAACAUCCAUUUAAUCAAAGGAUAAUAAAUUCAUAACUGACAAAAGGAAACAUAUUUUUCAACCAUGUAAUUUGCACGCUGUGUGAACUCAUUUCCAAAGAAUGUCAUUGAAGUAGGAUUCCAGAAACAGGAAGUUUUGAGGAUAACAAGAACAUCAGAUAUCAAGUUAGCAGUGGAAGUACUAGAGUUAAGCCUGAAGAAACGUCCUUGACACUUUAUUUAGUUGACAGUAAAACUUUGGUUGCAGAUUCAGACCUAUUCUGCCUGAAAUGCAUUUACAGAUAUACCAGGAAUCACAACAGGCAAGGCAUUUUCUGACAGAUAGGGCUUUUUGUUCUACCGUUAUCUGAACAAAACAAAGCAUGUUGGGGUUAAAAAUGUG